UGGGGAAUCUUGCGCAAUGGGCGAAAGCCUGACGCAGCGACACCGCGUGGGGGACGAAGGCCUUUCAGGUCGUAAACCCCUUCGGUCAGGGAGCGAAGCAGAUCUCGUGACGGUACCUGCAGAAUAAGCACCGGCUAACUACGUGCCAGCAGCCGCGGUAAUACGUAGGGUGCGAGCGUUAAUCGGAAUUACUGGGCGUAAAGCGUGCGCAGGCGGUCGUGCAAGACAGAUGUGAAAUCCCCGGGCUUAACCUGGGAACUGCAUUUGUGACUGCACGGCUGGAGUGCGGCAGAGGGGGAUGGAAUUCCGCUUGUAGCAGUGAAAUGCGUAGAUAUGCGGAGGAACACCGAUGGCGAAGGCAAUCCCCUGGGCCUGCACUGACGCUCAUGCACGAAAAGCGUGGGGAGCAAACA
rnacentral:rRNA from 1 species